UACGGUAGGGUGCAAGCGUUGUCCGGAAUUAUUGGGCGUAAAGGAGCUCGUAGGCGGUUUGUCGCGUCUGCCUGUGAAAACCCGAGGCUCAACCUCGGGCCUGCAGUGGGUACGGGGCAGACUGGAGUUCGGCAGGGGAGACUGGAAUUCCUGGUGGUAGCGGUGAAAUGCGCAGAUAUCAGGAGGAACACCGGUGGCGAAGGCGGGUCUCUGGGCCGUAACUGACGCUGAGGAGCGAAAGCAUGGGGAGCGAACAGG
rnacentral:rRNA from 1 species